rnacentral:rRNA from 1 species
GGGGCACCACCAGGAGUGGAGCCGGCCGCUUAAUUUUCCUCAUCUCGGGAAAACUCACCCGGCCCCGACGCUGUAAGGAUUGACAGACUGGGAGCUCUUUCUUAAUUCAGGGGGGGGUGGUGGAUGGCCGUUCUUAGUUGGGGGGGGCAUUUGGCUUGUUGACUCCAAUAACGAAGAAUUCUCUGGCCUAUUAAAUAGACGGGGUAUUUCCCUCUACGACCUCUUUUCUUAGAGGGACGGGCGGCUUCUAGCCGCAAGACACAGCCAAAACACAGGUCUGUGGUGCCUUUAAAUCUGCGGGGCUGCUCGCGCGCUACACUGAGAGGAUACGAGUACAACGCGCCUUUAUUCGGACAGCCGGGUCAGCCCAGGCACUUUCUUGAUGGGACUGAGGUUGUUCUAGAUCUUCUUUCCUCCAUAGCUGAAAUCCCUGGCGACUAUCCAUCCGUCGUUGUCUCCGAUGUGCUUCCCCCGUGCUCUUGAGCACUCGCCCAAUCUACGACGCGAUCGAUGCAACUU